rnacentral:misc_RNA from 1 species
AUUCGAGCGUCAUUAUCACCCCUCAAGCCUAGCUUGGUGUUGAGGCCUGCUGUAAGGGCAGCCUCUAAAAUCAGUGGCAGUGCUGUCAGGCUCUAAGCGUAGUAAAAUUCAUCGCUAUAGACACCUGGUGGACACUCGCCAGAACCCCCCAUUUUUUAAUGAUUGACCUCGGAUUAGGUAGGGAUACCCGCUGAACUUAA